GAUGAACGCUGGCGGCGUGCCUAAUACAUGCAAGUCGAGCGAACGGACGAGAAGCUUGCUUCUCUGAUGUUAGCGGCGGACGGGUGAGUAACACGUGGAUAACCUACCUAUAAGACUGGGAUAACUUCGGGAAACCGGAGCUAAUACCGGAUAAUAUUUUGAACCGCAUGGUUCAAAAGUGAAAGACGGUCUUGCUGUCACUUAUAGAUGGAUCCGCGCUGCAUUAGCUAGUUGGUAAGGUAACGGCAUACCAAGGCAACGAUGCAUAGCCGACCUGAGAGAGUGAACGACCACACUGGAACUGAGGCACGGUCCAGACUCCUACGGGAGGCAGCAGUAGGGAAUCUUCCGCAAUGGGCGAAAGCCUGACGUAGCAACGCCGCGUGAGUGAUGAAGGUCUUCGGAUCGUAAAACUCUGUUAUUAGGGAAGAACAUAUGUGUAAGUAACUGUGCACAUCUUGACGGUACCUAAUCAGAAAGCCACGGCUAACUACGUG
rnacentral:rRNA from 1 species